rnacentral:rRNA from 1 species
UACGUAGGGUGCGAGCGUUAAUCGGAAUUACUGGGCGUAAAGCGUGCGCAGGCGGUGAUGUAAGACAGGUGUGAAAUCCCCGGGCUUAACCUGGGAACUGCAUUUGUGACUGCAUCGCUGGAGUGCGGCAGAGGGGGAUGGAAUUCCGCGUGUAGCAGUGAAAUGCGUAGAGAUGUGGAGGAACACCGAUGGCGAAGGCAGCCCCCUGGGCCGACACUGACGCUCAUGCACGAAAGCGUGGGGAGCAAACAGG